rnacentral:rRNA from 1 species
UGGGAAUUUUGGACAAUGGGGGCAACCUGAUCCAGCCAUCCCGCGUGUGCGAUGAAGGCCUUCGGGUUGUAAAGCACUUUUGGCAGGGAAGAAACAGCCUGGGAUAAUACCCCGGGCGACUGACGGUACCUGCAGAAUAAGCACCGGCUAACUACGUGCCAGCAGCCGCGGUAAUACGUAGGGUGCAAGCGUUAAUCGGAAUUACUGGGCGUAAAGCGUGCGCAGGCGGUUCGGAAAGAAAGGUGUGAAAUCCCAGGGCUUAACCUUGGAACUGCACUUUAACUACCGAGCUAGAGUACGUCAGAGGGGGGUAGAAUUCCACGUGUAGCAGUGAAAUGCGUAGAGAUGUGGAGGAAUACCGAUGGCGAAGGCAGCCCCCUGGGAUGAUACUGACGCUCAUGACGAAAGCGUGGGGAGCAAACGGAUUAGAUACCCUGGUAGUCCACGCCCU